AGGGAGGGAGAGCAACUGAAAUAUAGCCUCUUCAUUUAGCAGAGAAGGACAGAGGUGUACUCCUCAGAGCUUCAGCUCAGUGCCGGGAGAAGCACCCACCCCCAAUCUGCAUGUGACUGUUAAUGAUACAAAAUUCACUCUUCAAUGCAUACACAAAUACAAGUCUCCUCCCUAGCUGCUUGGAGUGGGACUCCCUCCAUGUCCUCUCUCAACUUCUGAGUCUUAUAUUCCGGCCCAUCUGUGGCCCACAUGAGGUGACCAAAGGGCCAUGCUCUUCCCUGAGGUCAGCCUGCUUCAGAUCUAUUGGAAACAGUGAAAGAUGGCCACUGCAGGUGUUAGACAGCAUAGUCUGAAUAGAGUCAGUUUAUUUUUUGUCAGCAGUGCUUUAUCUGUUAUAAUUUGCUGUGUGCAUGUUUCCAUGACAACUGAGGGAAAAAAUAAAAUCGUAACCAAAA